UAACUGAACGCUUCUCAGAGAUAGCAGAUUGUAAGUUUAGUAUACUACAAACAGAAGAAAAAAGGUUCCUGAAUGAAGAAAGAACUCUUUUGAGCUCAGAAUUCUAAGGAAAUAAUGGAGAACAUAUGCAGAUGCUUUUAAUAUCAGGCUCCUGUUUCUAGAAUUACAGUCUUAAAGCUGUCAAGACUAUUCAAGAACAUGGAUGAUCCAGAGCUUGUCUGGCAUAUAAAACAUGCUUUUUGAACAUUUAAGUAGGAGAAGCAGGAGAAUGCCAAACAUAGAAAGCCUGAAAUAUCCAAGCAAAGGGACAUUUCUUUUCUUCUCAGGUGUCAUUCUGUUUUUCCAAAAAUAAAUGAAUCUUAUUUUCUAAUCUA